UACGGAGGGGGGCUAGCGUUGUUCGGAAUUACUGGGCGUAAAGCGCACGUAGGCGGCUUUGUAAGUUAGAGGUGAAAGCCCAGGGCUUAACCCUGGAAUUGCCUUUAAGACUGCAUCGCUAGAAUUGUGGAGAGGUAAGUGGAAUUCCGAGUGUAGAGGUGAAAUUCGUAGAUAUUCGGAAGAACACCAGUGGCGAAGGCGACUUACUGGACACAUAUUGACGCUGAGGCACGAAAGCGUGGGGAGCAAACAGG
rnacentral:rRNA from 1 species